rnacentral:tRNA from 1 species
GCCUGGGUGGCUCAGUCGGUUGAGCAUCCAACUUUGGAUCAGGUCAUGAUCUUGCAGUCCGUGAGUUCGAGCCCCACGUCAGGCU